GCGGCCGUAGUCUAGUGGUAGGACACAAGCCCUCCAAGCUUGUGACCCGGGUUCGAGUCCCGGUGGCCGCA
rnacentral:tRNA from 1 species